rnacentral:rRNA from 1 species
UGGGGAAUUUUGGACAAUGGGCGAAAGCCUGAUCCAGCAAUGCCGCGUGUGUGAAGAAGGCCUUCGGGUUGUAAAGCACUUUUGUCCGGAAAGAAAUCCUUGGCUCUAAUACAGUCGGGGGAUGACGGUACCGGAAGAAUAAGCACCGGCUAACUACGUGCCAGCAGCCGCGGUAAUACGUAGGGUGCAAGCGUUAAUCGGAAUUACUGGGCGUAGAGCGUGCGCAGGCGGUUUGCUAAGACCGAUGUGAAAUCCCCGGGCUCAACCUGGGAACUGCAUUGGUGACUGGCAGGCUAGAGUAUGGCAGAGGGGGGUAGAAUUCCACGUGUAGCAGUGAAAUGCGUAGAGAUGUGGAGGAAUACCGAUGGCGAAGGCAGCCCCCUGGGCCAAUACUGACGCUCAUGCACGAAAGCGUGGGGGAGCAAACAGGAUUAGAUACCCUGGUAGUCCACGCCCUAAACGAUGUCAACUAGUUGUUGGGGAUUCAUUUCCUUAGUAACGUAGCUAACGCGUGAAGUUGACCGCCUGGGGAGUACGGUCGCAAGAUUAAAACUUAAAUGAAUUGACGGGGUCAUAGCUGUUUCCU